AUUGAACGCUGGCGGCAGGCCUAACACAUGCAAGUCGAACGAGUGGCGGACGGGUGAGUACUGUCUGGGAAACUGCCCGAUGGAGGGGGAUCACUACUGGAAACGGUAGCUAAUACCGCAUACCAUCGGAUGUGCCCAGAUGGGAUUAGCUAGUAGGUGGGGUAACGGCUCACCUAGGCGACGAUCCCUAGCUGUUUUGAGCGGAGGACCAGCAACAAUGGAACGGAGACACGGUCCAGACUCCUACGGGAGGCAGGAGUGGGGAAUAUUGCACAAUUGGCGCAAGCCUGAUGCAGCCAUGCCGCGUGUAUGAAGAAGGCCUUCGGGUUGUAAAGUACUUUCAGCGAGGAGGCGUUACUCGCAGAAGAAGCACCGGCUAACUCCGUGCCAGCAGCCGCGGUAAUAC
rnacentral:rRNA from 1 species